rnacentral:rRNA from 1 species
GAUGAACGCUGGCGGCGUGCUUAACACAUGCAAGUCGAACGGAAAGGCCACAGCUUGCUGUGGUACUCGAGUGGCGAACGGGUGAGUAACACGUGGGUGAUCUGCCCUGUACUUCGGGAUAAGCUUGGGAAACUGGGUCUAAUACCGGAUAGGAAUCACAUGUGGGUGUGUGGUUGGAAAGCUUUUGCGGUAUGGGAUGAGCUCGCGGCCUAUCAGCUUGUUAGUGGGGUAAUGGCCUACCAAGGCGUCGACGGGUAGCCGGCCUGAGAGGGUGUACGGCCACAUUGGGACUGAGAUACGGCCCAGACUCCUACGGGAGGCAGCAGUGGGGAAUAUUGCACAAUGGGCGCAAGCCUGAUGCAGCGACGCCGCGUGGGGGAUGACGGCCUUCGGGUUGUAAACUCCUUUCGUCAGGGACGAAGCGAAAGUGACGGUACCUGGAUAAGAAGCACCGGCUAACUACGUG